UGAGGAAUAUUGGUCAAUGGAGGAAACUCUGAACCAGCCAAGUCGCGUGAAGGAUGACGGUCCUAUGGAUUGUAAACUUCUUUAGUAGGCGAGUAAGGAUAGGUACGUGUACCUAUUAGAAAGUAGCCUAAGAAUAAGUAUCGGCUAACUCCGUGCCAGCAGCCGCGGUAAUACGUAAGGUCCGAGCGUUGUCCGGAAUCAUUGGGCGUAAAGGGUACGUAGGCGGAUAAGCAAGUUAGAAGUGAAAUCCUAUAGCUCAACUAUAGUAAGCUUUUAAAACUGCUCAUCUUGAGGUAUGGAAGGGAAAGUGGAAUUCCUAGUGUAGCGGUGAAAUGCGCAGAUAUUAGGAGGAAUACCGGUGGCGAAGGCGACUUUCUGGCCAUAUACUGACGCUGAGGUACGAAAGCGUGGGUAGCAAACAGG
rnacentral:rRNA from 1 species